rnacentral:piRNA from 1 species
AUAGGAACUUUCUGAAGAAAACGU